UGCUUGUGUGCUGUCCCUGCCUGCCUGGCUACUGUAGGUUCCUGUGUUUCAGUGCCUGAGUCCAUAAACUCCACAAGGAAUAUAAGUGUUUUGCUUACACAUGUGCAUGGGUACCACCUGUAUGCUACUGGACUUAUAAACAGCUGUGUUGGUCCUGCGGACUGAACCUAGGUCCUUUGCAAGAACACGAACUCCUAACUGCCAAA